rnacentral:rRNA from 1 species
GAUGAACGCUGGCGGCGUGCUUAACACAUGCAAGUCGAACGGAAAGGCUCCUGCUUGCAGGGGUACUCGAUUGCCGAACGGGUGAGUAACACGUGGGUGAUCUGCCCUGCACUUCGGGAUAAGCCUGGGAAACUGGGUCUAAUACCGGAUAGGACAAUGGUUAGGAUGCCAUUGUGGAAAGUUUUUUCGGUUUGGGAUGAGCUCGCGGCCUAUCAGCUCGUUGUUGGGGUAAUGGACUACAAAGGCGUCGCCGGGUAGCCGGCCUGGGAGGGUGUACGGCCACCAUGGGACUGGGAUAGGCAACAGAAUGGAAUGUGAGGCAAGGGGGGAGAGGCUUACACAGGGGGAGCGAGCCAGAUGUGAAGACGCCGCGUGGGGGAAGCCCGGUUUCGGGUUGGGAACUCAUGUCGCUGGGGACGAGGAGAAAGUGACGGUACCUGAAGAAGAAGCCACGGCUAACUACGUG